UUUGUAAUCACAGGUGUGAUUGAGGGGGAGUGAGUGGGUUCUCAUAUCUAAGAGUGCUUAGGUAGAAAUUGCACGGGUAGAGAUUAGGUGAGAAAUACUGUAACUUGUUGAAGUGUACGAAGAGUCUUUGAACUGAUUCUAUUUAGUGGAUUUCCUUCCUGGCUUGGUAGCCCCCAAACGUAGGUGAGUUGCACCGAACUGGGUUAACAAUUGCUUGUGUAUUUUGCAUUACCAUUCUU
rnacentral:lncRNA from 1 species